rnacentral:rRNA from 1 species
AAUAGAUACCCAGGUAGUCCACGCCGUAAACGAUGGAUGCUAGCUGUUAUGCGUAUCGACCCGUGUAGUAGCGAAGCUAACGCGUUAAGCAUCCCGCCUGGGGAGUACGAACGCAAGUUUAAAACUCAAAGGAAUUGACGGGGACCCGCACAAGCGGUGGAGCGUGUUCUUUAAUUCGAGGCUAAGCGAAGAACCUUACCAGGGCUUGACAUCCUUGGAAUUUCUCCGAAAGGAGAGAGUACUUUAUUGGACCAAGUGACAGGUGCUGCAUGGCCGUCGUCAGCUCGUGUCGUGAGAUGUUUGGUUAAGUCCAUUAACGAGCGCAACCCUUAUGAAUAGUUGUAUUUUUCUAUUCAGACUGCCCCGGUAACGGGGAGGAAGGGGGGGAUGAUGUCAGGUCAGUAUUGCCCUUACGCCCUGGGCUAGAAACGCGCUACAAUGGCCGGUACAAUGCGCUGCCAACCCGCGAGGGGGAGCAAAUCGCAUCAAAGCCGGUCCCAGUUCGGAUAAGAGGCUGAAACUCGCCUCUUGAAGCCGGAAUCGCUAGUAAUCGU